rnacentral:siRNA from 1 species
UUCACUUUGCCUUUUCCAUCCA